rnacentral:misc_RNA from 1 species
CCUAAGAGAUACGUGUUAUGUGAAGUGCUCACACAGAUUGUCUGAUGAAGAACGAGCAGAGAUACCGGUAUAGGCUUGUAGCUCAGGUGGUUAGAGCGCACCCCUGAUAAGGGUGAGGUCGGUGGUUCAAGUCCACUCAGGCCUACCACUUUUCCUUUAUGCUGUGUUGUGAAGCAACUCGUUUACAUUAAGUAAACUUCGUUACUCCACGCCUUGCCUAAAGAAAAAGCUUCUUAUUAUAAGAAGAAAAAGGAGUGGUUAUACGGGUAUUAAAAUAUUAUGGGGCUAUAGCUCAGCUGGGAGAGCGCCUGCCUUGCACGCAGGAGGUCAGCGGUUCGAUCCCGCUUAGCUCCACCAUAAUCUCUUGAAUAUAAAACAAUGAUUCAGAGUAUAUUAGGAAUAGUAUACUGCGAAUUAUUAUGCUCUUUAACAAUCUGGAACAAGCUGAAAAAUUGAAAACAAAUCAAUAUAUCAACGAGGUAUAUUGGUGAGUCUCUCAAAAUCUCAAACCUUAAAGUUUGUCACGCAAAGUUUAUCUUUGAAAAAGACACUUUCGGGUUGUGA